rnacentral:tRNA from 2 species
GGGGCGUUAGUUCAGUUGGGAGAACGCUUGAUUUGCAUUCAAGAGGUGGCGGGUUCGAGCCCCGCACGCUCCA